rnacentral:tRNA from 1 species
ACCAGGAUGGCUGAGAGGUUAAGGCGUUGGUCUUAAGAUCCAAUGGACAAAUGUCCUCGUGGGUUCGAACCCCACUCCUGGUA